CAUCUCUCAGAUGUGCCCUGA
rnacentral:siRNA from 1 species